rnacentral:rRNA from 1 species
UACGUAGGGCGCAAGCGUUGUCCGGAAUUACUGGGCGUAAAGAGCUUGUAGGUGGUUUGUCGCGUUGUUCGUGAAAUCUCACGGCUUAACUGUGAGCGUGCGGGCGAUACGGGCAGACUAGAGUACUGCAGGGGAGACUGGAAUUCCUGGUGUAGCGGUGGAAUGCGCAGAUAUCAGGAGGAACACCGGUGGCGAAGGCGGGUCUCUGGGCAGUAACUGACGCUGAGAAGCGAAAGCGUGGGGAGCGAACAGG